AUUGAACGCUGGCGGCAGGCCUAACACAUGCAAGUCGAACGAGUGGCGGACGGGUGAGUAAUGUCUGGGAAACUGCCUGAUGGAGGGGGAUAACUACUGGAAAAGGUAGCUAAUACCGCAUACCAUCGGAUGUGCCCAGAUGGGAUUCGAUAGUAGGUGGGGUAAAGGCUCACCUAGGCGACGAUCCCUAGCUGGUCUGAUGGGAUGCCCAGCCACACGGGAACUGAGAAACGGUCCAGACGCCACAGGAAGGUAGCAGUGGGGAUUAUUGCACAAUGGGCGCAAGCCGGAUGCAGCCAUGCGGCGGGUAUGAAGAAGGCCUUCGGGUUUUAAAGUACUUUCAGCGGGGAGGCGUUACCCGCAGAAGAAGCACCGGCUAACUCCGUGCCAGCAGCCGCGGUAAUAC
rnacentral:rRNA from 1 species